rnacentral:lncRNA from 1 species
CAUUUUUUGGACUAAUUGUUUUUCCAUAUCGAAAAAAUGCGAUAAAUCCUUCAAUUUCAUGGGUGGUUAGCCAAGUUUGUGACGGGUUAAAUUAUGUCAACAUGAUUUUGGCUGAAACAUUUUUGUCAUUAAACCGUUUCAAACAAAAUGAAGAAAGGACCAUGCGUGCCCUCCCUGAACUUUUGCAAAUAUGGUUUUUCUCCCACAUAAAAGGGUUUGGGCACCUUAUGAAACAAUUUAA